rnacentral:misc_RNA from 1 species
CCGAGUUUACAACUCCCAAACCCCUGUGAACAUACCACUUGUUGCCUCGGCGGAUCAGCCCGCUCCCGGUAAAACGGGACGGCCCGCCAGAGGACCCCUAAACUCUGUUCUAUAUGUAACUUCUGAGUAAAACCAUAAAUAAAUCA